rnacentral:snoRNA from 1 species
GACCUCCUGGUGCUUACUACAGGCUGUGUUCUUACACUGACUGUGUAAAAAGAGGAGGAAAAGUAAACUACUCCAUAUAUACCUCAGCCCAGGCCCUAUACUUGAUCUGUAUUGUGAAUGAGGAGACAUAG